GAGUUUGAUCCUGGCUCAGGACGAACGCUGGCGGCGUGCCUAACACAUGCAAGUCGAACGAAGCUUUUGAUUUCGGUUGAGAGCUUAGUGGCGGACGGGUGAGUAACGCGUGAGUAACCUGCCUUACAGAGGGGGAUAACGUCUGGAAACGGACGCUAAUACCGCAUGACAUUUCUUUAUCACAUGGUAAAGAAAUCAAAGGAGCAAUCCGCUGUAAGAUGGACUCGCGUCCGAUUAGCUAGAUGGUGAGAUAACAGCCCACCAUGGCGACGAUCGGUAGCCGGACUGAGAGGUUGAACGGCCACAUUGGGACUGAGACACGGCCCAGACUCCUACGGGAGGCAGCAGUGGGGGAUAUUGCACAAUGGAGGAAACUCUGAUGCAGCAACGCCGCGUGAAGGAUGAAGGUCUUCGGAUUGUAAACUUUUGUACUUGGGGACGAUAAUGACGGUACCCAAGCAGCAAGCUCCGGCUAACUACGUGCCAGCAGCCGCGGUAAUACGUAGGGAGCAAGCGUUGUCCGGAUUUACUGGGUGUAAAGGGUGCGUAGGCGGCUAUGCAAGUCAGUUGUGAAAACUAUGGGCUCAACCCAUAGCCUGCAAUUGAAACUGCGUGGCUUGAGUGAAGUAGAGGUAGGUGGAAUUCCCGGUGUAGCGGUGAAAUGCGUAGAGAUCGGGAGGAACACCAGUGGCGAAGGCGACCUACUGG
rnacentral:rRNA from 1 species